GAUGAACGCUGGCGGCGUGCCUAAUACAUGCAAGUCGAGCGAACCGACGAGGAGCUUGCUCCUCUGACGUUAUCGGCCGACGGGUGCGUAACACGUGGAUAACCUACCUAUACGACUGGGGUACCUUCGGCAAACCGGAGCUAAUACCGGAUAAUAUAUUGACCCUCAUGGUUCCCUAGUUAAAGACGGUUUUGCUGUCACUUAUAGCUUGAUCCGCCCCGCAUGAGCUAGUUGGCUAGGUAACGGGUUAACAAGGCUACGAUGGGUAGCCGACCUGAGAGGGUGAAUGGCCACACGGGCACUGAGACACGGUCCAGACUCCGACGGGGGGCAGCGGCAGGGAAUCUUCCGCGAGGGGGGAAAGCGUGACGUAGCAACGCCGCGGGAGGCAUGAAGGUGUUCGGAUCGUAAAACUCUGUUAUUAGUGAAGAUGUAAUGUGUAAGUAACUAGGCACAUAUUGACGGUACCGAAUCAGAAAGCCACGGCUAACUACGUG
rnacentral:rRNA from 1 species